rnacentral:rRNA from 1 species
GUGCACCAGGCGCGAAACCUUCGCAAUGCGGGAAACCGCGACGAGGGACUCCCAGUGCCUACGCUCAGCGUAGGCUGUUCCCGAGCCUAGAAAGCUCGGGGAGUAAGGGCUGGGUAAGACGGGUGCCAGCCGCCGCGGUAAUACCCGCAGCCCGAGUGGUGGCCACUAUUAUUGGGCCUAAAGCGUCCGUAGCCGGCCCGGUAAAUGCCUGGGUAAAUCGUGAGGCCUAACCUCACGAAUUCCGGGUAGACUGCCGGGCUAGGGACCGGAGGAGGGAGAGGGUACUCCAGGGGUAGGGGUGGAAAUCCUGUAAUCCCUGGAGGACCACCGGUGGCGAAGGCGCUCUCCUAGGACGGGUCCGACGGUGAGGGACGAAAGCCAGGGGAGCGAACC